rnacentral:rRNA from 1 species
AGUGACCGCUGGCGUCGUGCCUCAUACAUGCAAGUCGAACGAGUGGGCACGGGUGAGUAAUGUAUAGCUAAUCUCCCUACACUAGAGACAACAGUUGGAAACGGCUGCUAAACUCUGUGUAGGUUGAGGCUAUAUUGUAUCAGCUAUUUGGUGAGGUAAUAGCUCACAAAGGCUAUGACGCAUAACUGUUCUGAGAGGAUGAUCAGUCACACUGGAACUGAGACACGGUCCAGACGCCUACGUGAGGCAGCAGUAGGGAAGCUGCGGCAAUGGACGAAAGUCUGACCGAGCAACGCCGCGUGAGUGAAGAAGGUUUUCGGAUCGUAAAACUCUGUUGUUAGAGAAGCGGUAUCUAACCAGAAAGCCACGGCUAACUACGUGCCAGCAGCCGCGGUAAUUC